rnacentral:rRNA from 1 species
CCUACGGGUGGCAGCAGUGGGGAAUAUUGCACAAUGGGGGAAACCCUGAUGCAGCGACGCCGCGUGAGUGAAGAAGCGCCUCGGCGCGUAAAGCUCUGUCAGCAGGAACGUUAAUGACGGUACCUGAAGAAGAAGCCCCGGCCAACUACGGUCCAGCAGGCGCGGUAAUACGUAGGGGGCAAGCGUUAUCCGGAUUUACUGGGUGUAAAGGGAGCGUAGACGGCUGGGCAAGUCUGGAGUGAAAGUCCUGGGCCCAACCCCGGGACCGCUGCGGAAACUGCCCGGCUAGAGUGCGGGAGAGGUAAGCGGAAUUCCGAGGGUAGCGGUGAAAUGCGUAGAUAUUAGGAGGAACACCAGCGGCGAAGGCGGCUUACUGGACCGUGACUGACGUUGAGGCGCGAAAGCGUGGGGAGCAAACAGGAUUAGAUACCCUUGUAGUC